rnacentral:rRNA from 1 species
UCUGGGACAAGCCCUGGAAACGGGGUCUAAUACCGGAUAACACUCCUGCACUCAUGUGUGGGGGUUAAAAGCUCCGGCGGUGCAGGAUGAGCCCGCGGCCUAUCAGCUUGUUGGUGAGGUAAUGGCUCACCAAGGCGACGACGGGUAGCCGGCCUGAGAGGGCGACCGGCCACACUGGGACUGAGACACGGCCCAGACUCCUACGGGAGGCAGCAGUGGGGAAUAUUGCACAAUGGGCGAAAGCCUGAUGCAGCGACGCCGCGUGAGGGAUGACGGCCUUCGGGUUGUAAACCUCUUUCAGCAGGGAAGAAGCGCAAGUGACGGUACCUGCAGAAGAAGCGCCGGCUAACUACGUGCCAGCAGCCGCGGUAAUACGUAGGGCGCAAGCGUUGUCCGGAAUUAUUGGGCGUAAAGAGCUCGUAGGCGGCUUGUCACGUCGGGUGUGAAAGCCCGGGGCUUAACCCCGGGUCUGCAUUCGAUACGGGCUAGCUAGAGUGUGGUAGGGGAGAUCGGAAUUCCUGGUGUAGCGGUGAAAUGCGCAGAUAUCAGGAGGAACACCGGUGGCGAAGGCGGAUCUCUGGGCCAUUACUGACGCUGAGGAGCGAAAGCGUGGGGAGCGAACAGGAUUAGAUACCCUGGUAGUCCACGCCGUAAACGGUGGGAACUAGGUGUUGGCGACAUUCCACGUCGUCGGUGCCGCAGCUAACGCAUUAAGUUCCCCGCCUGG